rnacentral:rRNA from 1 species
CGUAGGUCCCGAGCGUUGUCCGGAUUUAUUGGGCGUAAAGCGAGCGCAGGCGGUUAGAUAAGUCUGAAGUUAAAGGCUGUGGCUUAACCAUAGUACGCUUUGGAAACUGUUUAACUUGAGUGCAAGAGGGAGAGUGGAAUUCCAUGUGUAGCGGUGAAAUGCGUAGAUAUAUGGAGGAACACCGGUGGCGAAAGCGGCUCUCUGGCUUGUAACUGACGCUGAGGCUCGAAAGCGUGGGGAGCAAACAGGAUU